UAAGGAAUCUUCGGCAAUGGACGAAAGUCUGACCGAGCAACGCCGCGUGAGUGAAGAAGGUUUUCGGAUCGUAAAACUCUGUUGUUAGAGAAGAACAAGGACGUUAGUAACUGAACGUCCCCUGACGGUAUCUAACCAGAAAGCCACGGCUAACUACGUGCCAGCAGCCGCGGUAAUACGUAGGUGGCAAGCGUUGUCCGGAUUUAUUGGGCGUAGAGCGAGCGCAGGCGGUUUCUUAAGUCUGAUGUGAAAGCCCCCGGCUCAACCGGGGAGGGUCAUUGGAAACUGGGAGACUUGAGUGCAGAAGAGGAGAGUGGAAUUCCAUGUGUAGCGGUGAAAUGCGUAGAUAUAUGGAGGAACACCAGUGGCGAAGGCGGCUCUCUGGUCUGUAACUGACGCUGAGGCUCGAAAGCGUGGGGAGCAAACAGG
rnacentral:rRNA from 1 species